GGGAAAGAGGCCGCGAUGGGCGCGCCCGCGCGGGCUGCCUGGACGUGUCCGUAGCCCCGAAGGCCCCGGGCAGCCCGGUGCCUUUUUUACAGCAAACCAGUCGAUGUUAAAAAACGGCUUGGCCGCUCUCCAGGAGCGAGGGCGGAGGUAUGCGGUGAGCACAGGCGGGAGCCCGCAGCGGUGCUGGGGGACGGUGCUGCACCGGGGCAGGUGGGCCCCGUGCCUCAAACACUGCCGGCCUCCGCGGGGCAGCGCUCUUCAAACCCAGCAGUCGUUUCUUCUAAUAAAUAAUGCACUACGCUUACACAUACGUAUGUAUGCACACGCGUCUCUAUAUACAGGUAUGUACGUAGGAAUAACCCGAAUCUGGCCCAACCCUUCGCAUUUAUUCCUUUAGAAGUUUGAGGGAGAUGGAGUUGUUACUGUGUGACCGCUAUGAAGGAGGUUGUGGUGAAGAGGCCUCUUCUCCCAGUAACAGCUACAGGACGUCAGGUGUGAGCCUACAGAUUUUGGCACUUCUUUCCUGGAUUUGUUUGAAGAAUGAACGUCACUGAGAAGGCGGUGUGAUCCAAACCAGCUUUCCUGCUCAUGGAGGGACAGAGACUCCAGCAAAAUGGAUGAACCUCGCCGUGGAAACAUACAGGCGUUCCAGAUGCCCUUGAGCUUGUGACCGUUGCCUUCUGUCCUGUUGCUGAGCUCCUCUGAGUCAUGGAUGUUGCAAAUACAGCAGGGCAUUGAUGACAGCCUAUAUUUGGGCAAUCCAAUUCUACUCGGGGUUUAUUUUACUCAAUGAACAUGCAACUUGUCUGCACAGGGGGGAGAAAAUAGCAUCUGCCCCAGCUUCUGACCCGUGAAAACAACUGGACAAAAUGAUGACAUUUGCUUAUUUACUUUUCCCACAGGUAAAUGAGCUCACAGCUUUCAGUAGGCUACUGAAUACCUGGUAUUCUUUGCUCAGGAUUAUUCCAAACACUCAUUCGUAUGUCCACCAGUUGUUGUUUGUAGUUUAUAUGGAGCUAGACUAGGACCAAACAGCAAGAGGCUAAAUUCCCAUCAAACAUGAGGAAAAGUUCUUCACCCUCAGGGUGGUGAAGCACUGAGCAGGCUGCUCACAGAGGCUGGGGCUCUCCAUCCCGUCUGAACUUGCCUGGCCCAGGGCAACCUGCUCUGACUUGGCAGCGGGCCCUGCGGGCAGGUAACUGCGAUGAGGCCCAUCCCAUCCAAAUGUUUGGGUUUACCAGGGUGUUGUGUCAGCUGGAGGAACAUAAAGCUGUUGGUCCUGCUGGCAAAGACCAUCCCAGUGAGAGAAGGAGGAAGAAGAAGAGGCUGGAAUGGUCAGAAUGCCCACCUGCGGCCCGGAGGCCUGAGCUGUUCAUUACCAUCACACCAAGCAUGACUGUAAAUGACCUUCUGUACCCUUGAUUGUAACUACUGAGUACAGUAAACACCGCCUGGACAUCGCCUCUGCAAAAAUCUCCCCUUUCUUCCCCUGGGGCUCUUGUCAGCUCCAGGAUGACAGGAAGCAUCUGCAUCAGCUCCCAGCAACACUUCAGUGGUGCUUGCAGACAAAUUCCUAUUUCCCAAAGAUGGGAAGAAGAUUCCCAGAAGAAGGAGGUCAACUGCCUCAGACAGAAGGGCCAUGGAAGAGCCCCUUGGACACUCCCCUUGGCGGACAAUAUGCUGAUGCACGUUAGUGACUUGAUAGCGAGCUCUUGCUUUGUGGGGGCUGCUGAAGGAUGUCCUUGGUGCUUCUGUGCAGUUACGGGCUCACUGAGUCUCUCCACCAGCAUGCCACUGUGGGUUUGGCUGCAAGGCUUUCAAAGCCUGAGUGCAGCGAGCAGUGCCCAGGUGGCGUUUCUGAUGGCAUCCAUGAUGUGUCUUCUGGUAGAGGAAUGAAUAGAGCUGCUAACCACUGACCCUUGCAAACCUGCCAGAGGGAAAAAAAACAAUAAAGGAAAGUAGGCAGCAGAGCAGGGCCACACUAUUUCUAGCAACUGAGAGCUCUGAUCAGGAGAUGGACAGGUGAGGAUUUCAUUGCACUGGGGGGCAGGCUGCAGUGUCUUCCAGGCCCGAGCGGUCUGCCUGCUGUGGGGCUGCACGCCAGCAUACCCAAUAGUGUGCUAACUGUUGCUGUUUAAUCUCCAGCAUCUUGUUUGACGCCUCGGUGUAAUAAUGAUGGAAAUAAUAAAUGGCGUGCUACAAAGCCGUGUGCGUGGACUCGCUUUGUGCUGACGGCGGUGCCUUGCUCCCGGCGCGGCUCGGUGCCAGCCUGCUUCCAGCUGAGUCAGUUGGAGCAGGCAAAGGCCCAGCUCAACAGCUGGC
ensembl:lncRNA